AUUGAACGCUGGCGGCAUGCCUUACACAUGCAAGUCGAACGGUAACAGGUCUUCGGAUGCUGACGAGUGGCGAACGGGUGAGUAAUGCAUCGGAACGUGCCCAGUAGUGGGGGAUAGCCCGGCGAAAGCCGGAUUAAUACCGCAUACGACCUGAGGGAGAAAGGGGGGGAUCGCAAGACCUCUCGCUAUUGGAGCGGCCGAUGUCAGAUUAGCUAGUUGGUGGGGUAAAGGCCUACCAAGGCAACGAUCUGUAGUUGGUCUGAGAGGACGACCAGCCACACUGGGACUGAGACACGGCCCAGACUCCUACGGGAGGCAGCAGUGGGGAAUUUUGGACAAUGGGCGCAAGCCUGAUCCAGCAAUGCCGCGUGCAGGAAGAAGGCCUUCGGGUUGUAAACUGCUUUUGUCAGGGAAGAAAUCUUCUGGGUUAAUACCUCGGGAGGAUGACGGUACCUGAAGAAUAAGCACCGGCUAACUCUGUGCCAGCAGCCGCCGUAAUAC
rnacentral:rRNA from 1 species